GCCAGACUCCUACGGGAGGCAGCAGUGGGGAAUAUUGCACAAUGGGGGAAACCCUGAUGCAGCGACGCCGCGUGAGUGAAGAAGUAUUUCGGUAUGUAAAGCUCUAUCAGCAGGGAAGAAAAUGACGGUACCUGAUUAAGAAGCCCCGGCUAACUACGUGCCAGCAGCCGCGGUAAUACGUAGGGGGCAAGCGUUAUCCGGAUUUACUGGGUGUAAAGGGAGCGUAGACGGUGAUGCAAGUCAGAAGUGAAAGGCCGGGGCUCAACUCCGGGACUGCUUUUGAAACUGUGUGAUUGGAGUGCAGGAGAGGUAAGCGGAAUUCCUGGUGUAGCGGUGAAAUGCGUAGAUAUCAGGAGGAACACCAGUGGCGAAGGCGGCUUACUGGACUGUAACUGACGUUGAGGCUCGAAAGCGUGGGGAGCAAACAGGAUUAGAUACCCCCGUACCC
rnacentral:rRNA from 1 species